AUGGAUGUUAAAAGUGCUUUUCUUAAUGGCUUUAUUGAUGAGGAGGUUUAUGUUAAGCAACCACCUGGUUUCGAGAAUCCAAAGUUUCCCAACCAUGUUUAUAAACUUUCAAAAGCUUUGUAUGGUUUAAAACAAGCCCCACGUUCAUGGUAUGAUAGGUUGAAAACGUUUUUAAUUGGAAAGGGGUUUACCAUGGGAAACAUUGAUAAAACACUCUUUGUACUCAAACAUGGCAACGAUCAACUUUUCGUACAAGUUUAUGUUGAUGAUAUUAUCUUUGGGUGUGCUUCUCAUGCUUUGGUGUCAGAAUUUUCAGAAACUAUGAGCAGGGAAUUUGAAAUGAGCAUGAUGGGUGAACUUACUUACUUUUUGGGACUGCAAAUCAAACAAACAAAGGAUGGCACCUUUUUGCAUCAAAGUAAGUAUACGAAGGAUCUUCUACGGCGCUUUGGGAUGGAAAACCUCAACCCUAUUAUGACACCAAUGGGAUCUACGGCGUCACUUGAUCUUGAUGAGGAAGGUGAAACUGUUGACCAAAAGAUGUAUAGGAGUAUGAUUGGUUCACUUCUUUAUCUCGCCGCUUCUAGACCGGAUAUACAAUUUUAUGUAUGCUUGUGUGCACGGUUUCAAGCUUCUCCACGUGCAUCACAUCUACAAGCUGUCAAGCGGAUCUUCAGGUAUCUACAUGGCACCCAAUCUUUUGGCAUUUGGCUUUCUGCUUCCUCGAGUAUUUCAUUGCGUGCAUUUUCGGACGCUGAUUUUGGAGGUUGUAGAAUUGAUAGAAAGAGUACUUCUGGCACAUGCUUAUUUUUGGGUGAUUCAUUAGUACUUUGGUCUUCUAAGAAACAAAGUUUUGUUGCACAAUCUACUGCUGAAAGUGAAUAUGUAGCUGCUGCUUGUUGUUGCUCACAAAUUUUAUGGAUAAUAGCUACAAUGAAAGAUUAUGGGGUUACUCUAGAAAGUGUACCACUUUAUUGUGAUAACACUAGUGCUAUAUGUAUUGCUAAAAACCCUGUGCAACAUUCUCGAACUAAGCACAUAGACAUAAGAUAUCAUUUUCUUAGAGAUCAUGUUGAAAAAAGAAAUGUUGUGCUACAUUUUAUAGAUACUGAACGUCAAUUGGCAGACAUUUUCACUAAACCAUUGGAUUCUUCUCGAUUUGCUUUUCUUCGAGGUGAACUUGGAGUAAUCAAACCAUACGGGAUGGUUUGA
rnacentral:rRNA from 1 species